rnacentral:lncRNA from 10 species
GUAUAUAAAGAAAUAGAUCAGGGAGUUGCUGGCAAGAUGGCCGAAUAGGAACAACUCCCGUCUGCAGCUCCCAGUGAGACCAAUGUAGAAGGAUGCAGUGGGGGCAAGGAGAUGAUGAGAAUUUCUGUCCUGCAUAUGUCAUAGAGUGGUUAUAAGACUCACAGUAAGUUAACAUUUAAAAAGACUCUGUAAAAUAUUAAGACAAUAUGUUAAUAGCAUUGAUAAAAUAUACAAUUUAAAGCCCUUACCCAAAUGGAAAAAUUUUUGGAAAAUGGCUUAUUAUAAUCCUCCACCCUGAUAUGGCAAUCCUUAUUUCCAUUUUCUUUGUCUGGAGAAAUGUGAACAAAUACAUGUCUCCUUAUAUCAUUAAAGAAUGAUUUAAGAAUGUGUGGGAUUAUGAAUACAGCAUCUCAGAAUCAGUUCCUCUCAGGCUUGCAGGGAAAUUAAGCCAAAUGAGUAGAAAAUUAUAAUGAAAACAUCAUUAAAAUUUGGAUUUAAAAAAUAAUUCUUGAAAUAUUUACUAUAUUACUCUGAACUAUAAAUUCAAAAAUGUUCAAGAUUUAAUAUUAUUUGUUCAUUCAUUGAGUUCUUUCAAAUAUUGUUGAAAUAUUAUAUGCUUUGGAAAGUAUAAAGCUAUUUUAAG